rnacentral:rRNA from 1 species
GACGAACGCUGGCGGCGCGCUUAACACAUGCAAGUCGAACGGAAAGGCCCUGCUUUUGUGGGGUGCUCGUGUGGCGAACGGGUGAGUAACACGCGAGUAACCUGCCCUUGACUUUGGGAUAACUUCAGGAAACUGGGGCUAAUACCGGAUAGGAGCUCCUGCUGCAUGGUGGGGGUUGGAAAGUUUCGGCGGUUGGGGAUGGACUCGCGGCUUAUCCGCUUGUUGGUGGGGUAGUGGCUUACCAAGGCUUUGACGGGUAGCCGGCAUGAGAGGGUGACCAGCCACAUUGGGACUGAGAUACGGCGCAGACUCCUACGGGAGGCAGCAGGCGGGAAUAUUGCACAAUGGGCGGAAGCCUGAUGCAGCAGCCCCGCGUGCGGGAUGACGGCCUUCGGGUUGUAAACCGCUUUCGCCGGUGACGAAGCGUUAUUGACGGUAAUGGGUAAAGAAGCACCGGCUAACUACGUG